CCUACGGGUGACAGCAGUGAGGAAUAUUGGUCAAUGGGCGCGAGCCUGAACCAGCCAAGUCGCGUGAGGGAAGACGGUCCUAUGGAUUGUAAACCUCUUUUGUCGGGGAGCAAAAGACGCCACGCGUGGCGUUCCGAGAGUACCCUAAGAACAAGCAUCGGCUAACUCCGUGCCAGCAGCCGCGGUAAUACGGAGGAUGCGAGCGUUAUCCGGAUUUAUUGGGUUUAAAGGGUGCGCAGGCGGAAGAUCAAGUCAGCGGUAAAAUUGAGAGGCUCAACCUCGUCGAGCCGUUGAAACUGGUGUUCUUGAGUGAGCGAGAAGUAUGCGGAAUGCGUGGUGUAGCGGUGAAAUGCAUAGAUAUCACGCAGAACUCCGAUUGCGAAGGCAGCAUACCGGCGCGCAACUGACGCUCAUGCACGAAAGUGUGGGUAUCGAACAGGAUUAGAUACCCGGGUAGUC
rnacentral:rRNA from 1 species